UUAAACUGCAACUGCAGCGUCACCUUUUCGCUCUUCAGGUUUGACUUAUUAUUAUUAAUAUUAUUAUUUAUUGCAUGAUAAGGACAUUUAAGCGUCCGUGCCUUUUCGCUCGUUUUUUCCCCCUUUCUUUUCGAUUGGUUGGAGGGCUAAAGAUCGGAAGCAGUUUAUUUAUGCUAAUGAACGAGUUGGGGGUUGUAGAUAUUUACGUUCAUCGGGAGCCGCCCUUCAUUCACCCACAUGGUUCAAGGCAGGUCGUGUUCGCGCCACUUUUGCAAUUUUACUCUGAUUAAGAAAGUCGUUUUGGCAGAAGUUUCACUUCGCUUUGGACGCGCGCCGCGUUCGUCUCAUUCGAUCGCGGUCCACUUUUAAGUUCACGCACCAGUUUCGCAGAUUUGUCCAGAGCAGUGGCAGUAAACGGCAAGUGAGUGAAGAUGGUGGAUUUCACUGGAGGUGAUCUCCGCGCAGGAUUUCGUAACUCCGCUAUCGCAAGCGACAACGACGGCGAUACAAACAAUGUAGUAAGUGGCGCAUGGUAGUCCUCUCCACCUCCAUAGUUGGGGAGAAUGUGGGAGAUUUGAAAAGCAUGCUUGCUGCAAUGCAACUACCAACUAUUGUUUUCCACCGCACGCCUGCGCAGGGCGCUUUAAUUCGCCUCGUACGCACGCGUUCGCGUAGUCGGAUACGAAUUAAGUUGUUUUUAGACUCGGAGAGCGAUGUUUUCUCGUUCUGUUGAGCGUGCGAGUUAAAGUGCCUCCAGAACAAAGCAGUAGCACAUGGGGGGACGCGUAGGCCGCACGCGCUAGCUUAGCAACGGCGCGCCGGACAAAAACAUCCCCCGUUUUUGCAUUGGCUUUCAGCUUUAGGUUUACGAGGAUGCGUGUGGAAGGUUGUUAAAAUUAUUAAAGAUGACUAGCCACACAGAAGCUCCACGGUUUUUAAUAAAAAGUUAUUUUUGAUGGAGAAACGGAUGGAGCUAGCCAGCACUAGCCGUUGAAGUUCAACUGCUAACCGGCUAGUUUCGCUCAGCAAACGCUUCGUGUAAAUGCCACGAGCGCCUUAUUUGUUGACGUUGAGACAUUUCGUUGCUUUUAUAUUUUUGAGUGCAUGUUUAAGCCACACUCCUAGCCAGCUAGCUUAGCAUUAGCGGCUAACGCUGCCCUCAACAUCAGCCGAACGCGAAAGCAACAACGCGCCACUUUAUUUCCCAGCCUCGUUUUCUUGUUUCUCCCUGUUUGACACAUUGAACUUAUUAGUUGUUGUCUGAAACAGUAGUUUUUGAGCUAAGAAUGAUCCGGUUGGUGAACUCAACGGCGCCAUGUUAGUGCAGAUUGUUUCGGGUUUGGGGGAGGGGUGAGUGGGGAGCGCCUCACUGCGCAUGCGCCACACAGACCGACGGCGCGGUCCGCAGGCUGCGCAAUUCAUUCACUCGCUCAACUCUAGUUCUCAUAACUUGGACAUUGAUAGUGAAACGCACCUUCAAAACGGUGGGAGCGAACUAGGUAAUGAUGGUUUGGUGGAGUUAGCUUUUUUUUUAAAAGCGCGAUAGCCUACACCGUCAAAGUUGGGUAUGAAUGGUACUGCAUGUGCUUUGCCAUGAGGCCCUCGCUUUUGUAGUAUAGAAAGUCAGUCCCAUUUACUUUCUUUUUCAUUUCAAUGAACUAACUCGAAUAUGUCUCCCCUUCCCCUUCUCAGAAACAUCAAGAAAGAUGGGAGUAGUUGCCCGCAAGUUCUCUGGAGGCAUCCGUUCACUCUUGAUGGUGUGGAUGUCAGUGUAUUGUCAAAGUGCUUACAGUGCAGGUAGUAUUAUGGAAUAUCUACUGCAGUGGAGGCACUUCUAGCAAUACACUUGACCAUUGCCUUUUCCCUCUGCCUAAAGCAUCCUUCACCAAGACCCCAUACCUAACGGCUUUGUGCUAAGGUGCAUCUAGUGCAGAUAGUGAAGUAGACUAGCACCUACUGCCCUAAGUGCUCCUUCUGGCACGAGGGACUGUGACUUUCACCCAUAUGUGUGUGUGUGAGAAUUGUUUUUAUUUUUUUUGGUGCAGUUCUCUGCUAGUUUUGCAUAGUUGCACUACAAGAAAACUGGAGUUGUGCAAAUCUAUGCAAAACUGAUGGUGGCCUGCUGCUUCUCCACGUUUCCCAGAUUUUGAUUUGAAAUCUGAAAAGCGGUGGCUCAAUUUUUUUUUUUUUUUUUAAUCUCUUUCUGCCAGUGUUGCCAUUGUGUUGGAGUUUCAGCAGUGCUAAAGUGCUUAUAGUGCAGGUAGUAUUUCUGUCAUCUACUGCAGUGUGAGCACUUGAAGUACUUCUAGCUAAAUGCAUCUGGGAUCCGAAGACUCUCGCGGACACUCCUGAGGUCUCUCCGUACCGUUCUGGAACCUUGCUGGACCCCGGUCAGUUUUGCUGGUUUGCAUUCAGCUUUUAAGACUGUGCGCUGUGCAAAUCCAUGCAAAACUGACAGUGGCAGCUCGCAUCCGAGAGCCGCUUCUGGAGCCGUUUGGUCCCUUUCUGCACAGGUUGGGAUUGGUAGCAAUGCUGUGAGUUUGGAAGGUAUUGCACUUGUCCCGGCCUGUAGAGGAUUGUGGAGAUUGUACCCAACAAGUAGGGUUUUUUUGUUUUUGGAAGUUCCACAUUCUUGGUUUUCAUUAUUACAUUUGUGUAUUUUCCUUUAUUUUUUUAUUAUUAAUUGAAAUACUGAAUCUAUGUAAAAUUGAUUUAUUUAUUUUUUUCGCCAUCAAGUGAUGUAAUUUUUAAAUGCAAAGAUUUUCAAUAAAAGAUUAAGAGGUG